rnacentral:rRNA from 1 species
AUUGAACGCUGGCGGCAGGCCUAACACAUGCAAGUCGAGCGGAUGAAGGGAGCUUGCUCCUGGAUUCAGCGGCGGACGGGUGAGUAAUGCCUAGGAAUCUGCCUGGUAGUGGGGGAUAACGUCCGGAAACGGGCGCUAAUACCGCAUACGUCCUGAGGGUGAAAGUGGGGGAUCUUCGGACUUCACGCUAUCAGAUGAGCCUAGGUCGGAUUAGCUAGUUGGUGGGGUAAAGGCCUACCAAGGCGGCGAUCCGUAACUGGUCUGAGAGGAUGAUCAGUCACACUGGCACUGAGACGCGGUCCAGAGUCCUACGGGAGGCAGCAGUGGGGAAGAUUGGACAAUGGGCGAAAGCCUGAUCCAGCCGUGCCGGGUGUGUGAAGAAGGUCUUCGGAUUGUAAAGCACUUUAAGUGGGGAGGAAGGGCAGUAAGUUAAUACCUGGCUGUUUUGACGUUACCAACAGAAUAAGCACCGGCUAACUUCGUG